rnacentral:rRNA from 1 species
UUGGGGACGUCUAGAGAGACUGCCGGUGAUAAACCGGAGGAAGGUGGGGAUGACGUCAAAUCAUCAUGCCCCUUAUGACCUGGGCUACACACGUACUACAAUGGCGCAUACAACGAGCUGCGAGAUGGUGACAUCAAGCGAAUCUCUUAAAAUGCGUCUCAGUUCGGAUUGGAGUCUGCAACUCGACUCCAUGAAGUCGGAAUCGCUAGUAAUCGCGGAUCAGCAUGCCGCGGUGAAUACGUUCUCGGGGUUU